UACAGGCUGUCGUGUUCUGAAGCCAAGAUACACACUGUGCAGCUGUGAAUAGGCCUGAGGAGGCUGACUCCUUGGAUUUCUGAAGCAUUGUUAAUGAUCCAGAGGAAAUUAGCACCCCCUGCUCAACAGAGCUCUGGAAAUGCUCACAUUCUUGCUUCAUCUCUAUAGGAAGCUAGGUCAAAAGUUCACCUAUCAGAAAUGAGGGCUCUGAAGACAAGUUGCAUUCUAUGGCGCUGUGUAUUGGCUUGAGGAGGCUGUCAACUCGGUCACAUGACACAUGUGAAAGGAAUGAGAAGACAGUAGCAGGCCAUUGUGACACUGCCCUCCCAAUCGAAACAUGGAAGUGUUGACAAUCACAGAGUGGGAGUCUUAUGUCUGAACUUUGACACCCAGCUAAGCAAAGUCUAACCUGUCUGUUCACUUACAGAGUACUAUCCACAAAGAAGGGUAAGCUAAGAUGAAGCACUUAUGAAAACAGUUACUGUCCCUUGUGUGCUGGUGAACCUUGUGUACAGGAUAUGUGGAAGACCAUUCAACCUCUUGAGAAAUGGGAGAUCAGAGUAAUGAGAGUCAGACAGAGCGGACAAUUCUGUGUUUGAUUUACUGGGCCAACAUAACUACAUUUUCCAUGUAAGGAUUUGCUCAUAGAAAUCUAAUGUCUCAUACAGGUAAAGACAAAGCUGUAUGAAGCCUCAAUAAUAUAACUGGCUCCAGGCUUCUUUCUUUUCUUUUUUUUUUUUCUUUUUUUUUUUUUUUUAGCUGGGGACCGAACACAGGGCCUUGCGCUCUACCACUGAGCUAAAUCCCCAAGCCCUUAGGCUUCUUUCUUAGUUACUAGGAUUUACAGGCAGUCCUUCAUACCUUGCUUCUAGGUUCAAAAAUUAUUUUUAGCUUCAUAUAAACAAGGCAUAGUAUUCUCUCUGUAUGUGUGUUUCUCUGUCUCUCUGUUUCAUCUCUCUUUCUCUGCCUGUCUGCCUCUCUGUCCUAUUUUUCCUAUUUCCUAAAACAGUCUUUACUAAUGGUAACAUAUUUCAUGCCAGUUUAUGCACUUUCUUAUCUCAUAAACCCCAGUGGGAUGUAAACUUGUUGUUCUCUGGAGAACCACGAUUAGAAAUAGAGUUGACAUUCAAAUCUACUAGACUAAAACUUUAAGAACUGAGAAGAUGUAAAAUAUUCAACAAUUCCCAACAAACCUAGGGCCCAAUAAGCGUAUAUGGAAAGUAAAUUUUCAAAGAUACAAGAAAAGCAUGGCAGGCUGACCAUGGCCUGGCUUCUCUUUGCUGGGACUGCCAGCAUCAGGAUAAAGGUAACAUGGGGAUUUAAUAAACAUAUAUAGUUUAAGAAUACUUAGUCUCUACCCUUAAUUUACCAUUCCCUGUCUGUAUGUUUCUAAUGGAUGUUGUCCAGAAAUGUAGUAUUGACACCCUUUCAAGAGUAUAUAAGUUGCCACUUUUUGACUUUUUAUCCCUGGUUGAAGCUCCUUACCAAAGAUCUACAACAUCUUUUUUUCCUGUGAAUGCUGCUUUGUUUUGUGUGUGUGUGUGUGUGUGUGUGUGUGUGUGUGUGAGUGUGUUUGUGUCUCUGUCUGUCUGCCUGUCUGCCUGUCUUUCUCUCUUUAUCUCUGUCUGUUUCCUCCACAUGAUUCCUCUCUAUACUUCAGCUUGACUUCCUAAUUGCUCAUUCCAAGGUUGGCCCAUCAUGCUUUCUGUGAGUGUUUGGUUUUGAUGACUCAAAUUCUACCCAUAGACAGAACUGUGAACAUCUGAUCACAUCACUAACACCCUCAUGGAUAAAAUAAGUUAUUUUUGAGGCUCUGAGGGAAGUUUUUAUCAGAAUUUAUGUAAGUUUUCUUUAUGUUUUACUCCCCCAUACAAACUGCACUACAAUGUGGAUCUUACCCAAGUCUUAGCCUAAUUGUAUUUAUUCAUGCACCUGGCCUACUGGGAAGGCAGCAUUCCAACUCUACAAUAUUAAUUAUCAGGACCAAUAGAUGAGGAAAUUGAAGAAAUUAGACAUUUAGCUAUAGAAGAUGUCCCCUGAGAUGGAUUAACUGGGUGGAUCAUUGCUUCACUGACAAUCAUCCUGACCUAAGUUGUCAGCUUUUGUCAUUUUGUGUGUGCUACAUAAGGUGGGGAGGAACCACUUCUGGGCUGUGUUUGAAAAUUGAGUCUUCAGUAUUCAUGCAUGAAGGUGGGAAAAUUUUCAAUAAAUCAGUGAUAUGUCUGGGUUAGAACAGUGAGUGAUGGAAAGUCUUCCCUUGUGUCUCAGGAAAAGCUACUGGAAAGGGCAAAUUUGCUUGUUGAUUUGGAGAAGAUCUAGUUAAUGUGUAGUUAUAUGCUGUUGAAGGGGAAACUCUUAUGGAUAUUCUAAUGUAUGCUGGAAUUUCCAAGGUAUUCUCUGUGAUGUCACUAAUGUUAUGGAAACAGAAACUGCCCUUGUGGCAUUUAGUUAGUGCUUAGGUUUAACAACAGACAUUGUUUCAGAGUGAUUAAGCUAUUAACCUAGAAAACAGAGAGCAUGGAGAGAACAGAGAGAGGAAGAAGAAAUUGGGAUUUCUUUCUUGUUAUAAAAGUGCAAAAAAUGAUCUGGUGGAAAGCAGAGAGAAGGAUCUGCUGGGAAGGCACAAUCCCAACCUUCGACCAUCAGUGAGCAAGUUCAACAGAUUAAGAAGAUGGAGAAACUGAUUAUUGAGCUCCAGAAGAUGACCUGUUAGUUCGGUAAACUCUCAGGUAUACUGAGCCAUUGUACCAACAGGAUUUGAACAAAAGAUAUCCAUUAUGCCCAGUUUUUUGUUGAAGGUCUUGACCUCCCUUUGUUAACCCUAGUUUUCUCACAUCACAAGAAACAGCAUCUCCAAUGUCCCCAUGCAUAAUUUAAUUUUAUCAUGUGCCUCUCAGUGGUAGAAUAUGAAGACAGGAUAGGAGUGUGGUGGGAAGCUUUUUCAUUACUCAGAAUAGCAGAAGCUGUGGUUUGAAUAGCAGUCUUGAGAUAUGGCAAGUAGUUUGUGAGCUCUUGUCAUGGAUUUAAAUAGACAUGGAAUGCAUUUCCUGUCCUAAGAGGAACAAAGAAAGCUGGUCAGCAACAGUAGCACAGUAACUUAGACUUAGGUAGGUAAAGUUUUAUUUAUUAAUUUUUAUUUAUUUAUUUAUUUUAAAGAUUUAUUUUAUUUGCUUAAUAUGAGAAUAUUAUAGUUGUCAAACACACCAAAAGAGGACAUCAGAUUCCAUUAUAGACGGUUGUAUGCCACAAUGUGUUUACUGAGAACUGCACUCAGGACCUCUGGAAAAACAGUCAGUGCUCUUAAAUGCUGAAUCAGCUUACCAGCCUAAAGUACUUUUGAUAAUAAUAAUAAUAAUAAUAAUAAUAAUAAUAAUAAUAAUAAUAAUAAUGCUCUUCCCCCUCCUCUGUCUCAAGAAGUACUAACAAUAAAGAAGACAACAUCAUAGCUGCCCUUCCCUCAGCACUAAAAGAGAGAAAAGUUUUACUUUGUCUUGGUUAUGAAGAUUUUUCUUGUUGACUGGGCUCAUAGCUCAGUCCUGAAGCCAGGUGCCAUUUCCCUGAAAAUGGGAACCCCUUUUGGAGGAAUCUGCUUACCUUGGAGGAAAUAGGAAACAGUGAGCAAGGGUAAGAUGUGGGUCCACCACUUUAUCCCUUGUUGAGAACAAAGUCUCCUCUUCACAGCCUGGGCACCAGGUAAGCAGGGUAAGCAGGCAUUGCUAACAAGUCAAUCCAGGUGGGUAAACGUUUGUCUAUUAGGUAUACGGGGGGGGGGGGCAUUUCAUUGACUAAGCUGAAUGUAUAUCCUGUCCACUAUGUUCUAAACCCAUUCAGGAAAGUUUUGUGGAUUUUGUCUACCCUGUGACCAAAUUAGUGUGUUUUACAUUCGGUGUGCAGUUUCUUCACUGAUAUGAACCUUGAGAGAAUGGAGGGAGCCAAGCAAAGCCACAGACAACAUCAUUCUACAUUCUAGAAGAUCAAGGCCUUCUCAUAAAAAAAAAAUCCUUGUAGAUGUGAAUUCAGCAGUGAGGAGGAAGUUAUCAAAGAAUACAUAUAUACAAUUUGGCACACGUUUCUAAUAUAAAUAGAGCAAAUUAAAUAUAUAAUUUAUGACCUAAAGAUAGGACCAUGUUGUACUGAGAGACCCCACCCAACAGCUGAGUCAGGCUGAUAGAGACACCUACAGCCAAGCAGUGAAUGGAGCUUGAGGAAAGUUUUUUGGCACAAAAGGCAAUAGGAACUGCACAGGAAGGCCAACAGUGUCAACUAACCUAAAACCCGGGGAACUCUUAGAGCCUGAGGCCCCAACCGAAGAUCAUGCACAGGGUGGUCCUAGAUCCCUAGUGGAUAUGGGGCAGACAUGUAGGGUUACGUUGUCUGGCUGCAAUUCGAGAGGGUGUGCCUAAUUCCGAAGAGACUCGAUGUUUCAGAGUUGGGGCCAUAACUAGGCAUGUCAUCAUCUUAGGAGAGAAGAGGAUUGGGACAGAGACUCUGUGAGGAAGUGACAAGCGAGGGGCAGCGUUUGGUAAUAGGUUGCCUCGUAGGUUUGGGACAAAACUACAUGAGACCCAAUUCUAAACACCCACAAGGAGUUGAUAAAUUCUUGGUCAUCUUCCAUACCACAGUGACAUCCAUGCUGAACCCCAUCAUCUAUAGGUUAAUGAACCCAGAAUGAAAGCAGCACUGAAAAGAACUCUGGGUCUGAAGAAAGAUCUGAUAAAAAAUAGGUAAUUAAGGAUCCCAAAGUGCUCUUUCUAAAAGGUACAAAGUCUAUGAAAG